GGUUGCCCAGGGAGGUGGUGGGGUCACCAUCCCUGUGGGGUGAUGGACAAGGGGUAUGGCUUUAAACUAAAAGGUGGGAGAUUUAGAUUAGAAACGAGGAUGAAAAUAUUUAAUACGACAGCAAUGAGACACUGUCACAGGUUUCCUAGAGAUGCUGUGGAUGCCUCAUCCCUGGGGAUGUUCAAGCCCAG